UCAGGAUGAACGCUAGCUACAGGCUUAACACGAUGCAAGUCGAGGGGCAGCAUCAGGUUAGCUUGCUAACCUGGAUGGCGACCGGCGCACGGGUGAGUAACGCGUAUCCAACUUCCCCCUGCUCAGGGAUAGCCCGGUGAAAACCGGAUUAAGACCUGAUAGUUUCACUAGAUGGCAUCUGACGGUGAAUAAAGGUUUCGGCAUGGGAUGGGGAUGCGUCUGAUUAGCUUGUUGGCGGGGUAACGGCCCACCAAGGCGACGAUCAGUAGGGGUUCUGAGAGGAAGGUCCCCCACAUUGGAACUGAGACACGGUCCAAACUCCUACGGGAGGCAGCAGUGAGGAAUAUUGGUCAAUGGGCGGAAGCCUGAACCAGCCAAGUAGCGUUGCAGGAAGACGGCCCUAUGGGUUGUAAACUGCUUUUGUGCGGGAAUAAAGUCAGGGACGCGUCCCUGUUUGCAUGUACCGCAAGAAUAAGGACCGGCUAAUUCCGUGCCAGCCGCCGC
rnacentral:rRNA from 1 species